rnacentral:rRNA from 1 species
GUGGGGAAUAUUGGACAAUGGGCGAAAGCCUGAUCCAGCAAUGCCGCGUGAGUGAUGAAGGCCCUAGGGUUGUAAAGCUCUUUUACCAGGGAUGAUAAUGACAGUACCUGGAGAAUAAGCUCCGGCUAACUCCGUGCCAGCAGCCGCGGUAAUACGGAGGGAGCUAGCGUUGUUCGGAAUUACUGGGCGUAAAGCGCGCGUAGGCGGUUUUUUAAGUCAGAGGUGAAAGCCCGGGGCUCAACCCCGGAAUUGCCUUUGAAACUGGAAAACUUGAAUCUUGGAGAGGUCAGUGGAAUUCCGAGUGUAGAGGUGAAAUUCGUAGAUAUUCGGAAGAACACCAGUGGCGAAGGCGACUGACUGGACAAGUAUUGACGCUGAGGUGCGAAAGCGUGGGGAGCAAACAGGAUUAGAUACCCGGGUAGUCC